CCUGCCGCCCGCGCCGCCCGCGCAGCCCCACACACCGCCUAUCAGACCACGGAGAAGUCGUCAAUCUUCUUUAGAAAAAGCUUCGCCUAUGACUUCCCAGAGCUGUGAACGAUUGUCGAGUAGCACAUCAAAAUCGACUUCCCCUGCCAAGGCUUUGCACAGCCUGCCCGAGAGACUGAUGGACGCCGAGAAGUUAUCGCGCAGAUGUCGUAGCUGCGAAGGAAUUUUAGAUGCGGAUGAGAGGCACGAGAGAAUCCCUUUGCCCACGCCCUUAGACGCUGCCACGCAGACGAAGAGGAA